AUUGAACGCUGGCGGCAGGCCUAACACAUGCAAGUCGAACGAGUCGCGCACGGGUGAGUAGUGUCUGGGACACCGCCCGAUGGAGGGGGAUCUCUACUGGAAACUGUAGCUUAUACCGUAUACUAUCGGAUGUGCCCAGAUGGGAUUAGCUAGGGGGGGGGGUAACGGCUCACCUAGGCGACGCGCCCUAGCUGGUCUGAGAGGAUGACCAGCAACACGGGAACUGAGACACGGUCCAGACUCCUACGGGAGGCAGCAGUGGGGAAUAUUGCACAAUGGGCGCAAGCCUGAUGCAGCCAUGCCGCGUGUAUGAAGAAGGCCUUCGGGUUGUAAAGUACUUUCAGCGAGGAGGCGUUACUCGCAGAAGAAGCACCGGCUAACUCCGUGCCAGCAGCCGCGGUAAUAC
rnacentral:rRNA from 1 species